GGGGAUUUAGCUCAGUGGUAGAGCACUUGCCUAGCAAGAGCAAGGGCCUAGGUUCAGUCCUCA
rnacentral:tRNA from 1 species